rnacentral:rRNA from 1 species
AUUGAACGCUGGCGGCAUGCGUAACACAUGCAAGUCGAACGGUGUUUGGUGCUUGCACCAGACAUAGUGGCGGACGGGUGAGUAAUGCGUAGGAAUCUGUCUUAGAGAGGGGGACAACCCGAGGAAACUUGGGCUAAAACCGCAUAUUCUCGAGAGAGGAAAGCAGGGGACCGGAAACGGCCUUGUGUUCUAAGGUGAGCCUACGUCGGAUUAGCUAGUUGGUAGGGUAAAAGCCUACCAAGGCGAUGAUCUGUAGCUGGUCUGAGAGGACGGACAGCCACACUGGGACUGAGACACGGCCCAGACUCCUACGGGAGGCAGCAGUGGGGAAUAUUGGACAAUGGGGGAACCCUGAUCCAGCGAUGCCGCGUGUGUGAAGAAGGCCUGCGGGUUGUAAAGCACUUUUCAGUGGGAAAGAGAAGCGUCUUGUGAAUAAUGGGACGUGGAGACGUUACUCACAGAAGAAGCACCGGCUAACUCUGUGCCAGCAGCCGCGGUAAU